AUUGAUUUUAUGCUUGCAUAAAUGAUUUUUUGGAUUCGGAGCGAGUGGCGAACUGGUGAGUAACACGUGGGUAACCUGCCCCGAAGCGGGGGAUAACAUUUGGGAACAAGUGCUAAUACCGCAUAAUUAGUUGGAACCGCAUGGUUCCAACUUGAAAGAUGGCUCUGCUAUCACUUUGGGAUGGACCCGCGCCGUAUUAGUUAGUUGGUGAGAUAAAAGCCCACCAAGACGAUGAUACGUAGCCGACCUGAGAGGGUAAUCGGCCACAUUGGGACUGAGACACGGCCCAGACUCCUACGGGAGGCACCAGUAGGGAAUCUUCCACAAUGGACGAAAGUCUGAUGGAGCAACGCCGCGUGAGUGAUGAAGGUUUUCGGAUCGUAAAACUCUGUUGUUAAAGAAGAACAAGUGUUAGAGUAACUGUUAACACUUUGACGGUAUUUAACCAGAAAGCCACGGCUAACUACGUGCCAGCAGCCGCGGUAAUACGUAGGUGGCAAGCGUUGUCCGGAUUUAUUGGGCGUAAAGCGAGCGCAGGCGGUUUUGUAAGUCUGCUGUGAAAGCCCUCAGCUCAACUGAGGAAGUGCAGUGGAAACUACGAAACUUGAGUACAGAAGAGGAAAGUGGAACUCCAUGUGUAGCGGUGAAAUGCGUAGAUAUAUGGAAGAACACCAGUGGCGAAGGCGGCUUUCUGGUCUGUUACUGACGCUGAGGCUCGAAAGCAUGGGUAGCGAACAGGAUUAGAUACCCUGGUAGUCCAUGCCGUAAACGAUGAAUACUAGGUGUUGGAGGGUUUCCGCCCUUCAGUGCCGCAGCUAACGCAUUAAGUAUUCCGCCUGGGGAGUACGACCGCAAGGUUGAAACUCAAAGGAAUUGACGGGGGCCCGCACAAGUGGUGGAGCAUGUGGUUUAAUUCGAUGCUACGCGAAGAACCUUACCAGCUCUUGACAUCUUCUGCCAACCCAAGAGAUUGGGCGUUCCCUUCGGGGACAGAAUGACAGGUGGUGCAUGGUUGUCGUCAGCUCGUGUCGUGAGAUGUUGGGUUAAGUCCCGCAACGGGCGCAACCCUUAUUAUUAGUUGCCAGCAUUUAGUUGGGCACUCUAGUGAGACUGCCGGUGAUAAA
rnacentral:rRNA from 1 species